rnacentral:rRNA from 1 species
GACGAACGCUGGCGGCGUGCUUAACACAUGCAAGUCGAACGGAAAGGCCCUGCUUUUGUGGGGUGCUCGAGUGGCGAACGGGUGAGUAACACGUGAGUAACCUGCCCUUGACUUUGGGAUAACUUUAGGAAACUGGGGCUAAUACCGGAUAGGAGCUUCUGCUGCAUGGUGGGGGUUGGAAAGUUUCGGCGGUUGGGGAUGGACUCGCGGCUUAUCCGCUUGUUGGUGGGGUAGUGGCUUACCAAGGCUUUGACGGGUAGCCGGCCUGAGAGGGUUACCGGCCACAUUGGGACUGAGAUACGGCCCAGACUCCUACGGGAGGCAGCAGGGGGGAAUAUUGCACAAUGGGCGGAAGCCUGAUGCAGCAACGCCGCGUGCGGGAUGACGGCCUUCGGGUUGUAAACCGCUUUCGCCUGUGACGAAGCGUGAGUGACGGUAAUGGGUAAAGAAGCACCGGCUAACUACGUG